AGCAGUAGCCGCGGGAAUACGAAGGGGGCUAGCGUUGCUCGGAAUCACUGGGCGUAAAGGGUGCGUAGGCGGGUCUUUAAGUCAGGGGUGAAAUCCUGGAGCUCAACUCCAGAACUGCCUUUGAUACCGAAGAUCUUGAGUUCGGGAGAGGUGAGUGGAAUUGCGAGUGUGGAGGUGAAAUUCGUAGAUAUUCGCAAGAACACCAGUGGCGAAGACGGCUCACUGGCCCGAUACUGACGCUGAGGCACGAAAGCGUGGGGAGCAAACAGGAUUAGAGACCCCUGUAGUCCCUGUCUCUUAUAC
rnacentral:rRNA from 1 species